GGGUGGUACUUGCCUGGACAUACUCUCAUGGUGUUUAGAUAGGUUUCGUGAGAUGUAUCCGAAUGCUCCGUGUGUGACUUCUGAGUUUAUUUAAUAACAGUGCUUUAUAUGCCUACGUGUAUUUUGAACAGAUGUUGUUUUAUUAGAGUGAUUUUAUUUAUAUGUAAUUUUUUUUAUAAGGUGUAUUUUAUUUGUUAUUUUCCUCCCUUGCAUUGGAGCGUUGUGAGUAGUGUCGACUCUGGAUGGUGGUUUGUGCUUCUUGAUUGUUACUUUGGUAAAUUAUAGUUACGUAGAUUUUGAUUUUUAUUUCCAUUGCCUCCGCUGUUUAGUUUGAUUUACUGUUGUAGGUUUCGGUGAUUUUGGUAUUAGCGUUGGAUAAUGGAUUGGAGGCAUCGUCGUCAGAGAUUCCCACGCGGACUGUCCUAGUGUGUAUCCUAUUUGUUUUCUUGUAUUUAAUUUAAUUUUUUCCUUUUUGGUUUAUCUUUAUUCGCUGCAUAUGGUGUUUCAGUGCAAGAAGAAGAAGAAGUGUUGUCAAGAAUCCGUGAGUGGCCCCAGAAGACGCAGUCAUCGUGUGUGAGCAGGAACGAAGAGUCGAGUUUACUGAGGAAGUGGGAUCAAGCCUAUGUGUCACCUUGGAACAACUCAUGAAAAUCGUGGACCGGAUAACUCAGCCUAAGAAGCAAAGACCGAGACUACUCGAUACAAGACAGAACAAUUCCUUUCGCGUUGUGGUGGCAAAGAGACAGCCGCCUCGGCGUUAAUAAGGAUAUUCAGAGAACGACCGUCGGAGACCGAAUCCCCAGGAGCCUACGCCGACAUCUUCGCCAGGAAAUUCACCGACGGAACCCGAAGCCAAACGAUGCAAGCUAUCGGGCCACCAGGAUGCAUAGCGAACAGCAGAAGGAUACACGACGCCAGGAAAAAAACCGACCAGCCACAUCGUCCAAGAUGGUUUGCUUCAAGUGUCGUGCGGAGGGUAGUAUCGCACCUGAUUGUCCGCUACUGCAGAACAGAAAACCCGGCCUCAAGAACGAACGUCGAGUCGACUCCUGCGUGAUGGAGUCUCUACCUGGUAGUUUAAGUCAUCUGGGUGAGUCGUUCCCAUUUUAUUUAGAUUCCGGAGCCGAAUGCUCAUUAAUCAAAGAAUCUGUAGCCUCGAAAUUUUCUGGCAAACGAACGACUGAUGUAGUAGUAAUGCGAGGCAUAGGGAAUACUUGUGUUAACAGUACAUCUCAGAUCUUGUCCACUGUAUGUAUUGUGGCGGAUCGGUAUCAAUAGGACGCAGAUAGGUCGAGGCAUCAACGCGGCGCAACACCUCCCGGGCGAUCCGCUGGUACCAACCGCCAACACUAGAGGGCUACGACGACAACGAGUCUGUCUAACUCGCUAGCGGUCGAAUAUACGAGCGAUUGAUACAAAUACCGCACCUAGCGAGACUCCCUCUACGUCUAAGGCAGGGACUACCGGGCAUAGCCUUACUGACGAGUCCACCGGUAGUCCCGGGACGAAACGCACAACUCUCUUUCCAUCCGCCACAUUGGUGACCACCGACAACGAACACGCACCUUUGGAGAAGGAGUCAGGAAAGGAGCCAACCACCGACGACGAACACGCCAAGCAGGUGACCGGAUACGAGACGACGACCAAGCCAGGAAGUGAUGUAGCCAUUGCAAUAGUUCAUGGGCAUCACCUCCAGCAACACGUCAGAGAAAGAGACAACCAUCUCGUCCCCACGACGAUCAGCCUUCCAUCAUCGAUGACGAGCCAUUUCCUCUAACUUGUAUCGCGCUAUAUAGCUUUGGGGUCACGCUAUAGCGCUAGGGGGAGGCUGUGUGGCGGAUCGGUAUCAAUGGGACGCAGACAGGUCGAGGCAUCAACGCGGCGCAACACCUCCCGGGCGAUCCGCUGGUACCAACCGCCAACACUAGAGGGCUACGACGACAACGAGUCUGUCUAACUCGCUAGCGGUCGAAUAUACGAGCGAUUGAUACAAAUACCGCACCUAGCGAGACUCCCUCUACGUCUAAGGCAGGGACUACCGGGCAUAGCCUUACUGACGAGUCCACCGGUAGUCCCGGGACGAAACGCACAACUCUCUUUUCAUCCGCCACAGUAUUAA